GGGGGAGUGGAGGGGUGCGGGGGCAGGGCUGCCACUAGCUGGGAUGCAAAGUCAGUUUACAAGGAACUAACGGGGUUUUCUGUGUUUCUUUCAGCUUUGCGGCAAGAGGGACUUAGAAGAGGAGGCAGUAGUUCCUUUUUCUAGACCAAGGCUCAGUGAAUAACCCAAAAGGCAUUACUCCCAAGACCCAGGGGCUGUGCUAUCCAUAGAGCACAGCACAUCUUACACUGGCUGUUUUUCAACCAACAGCAAGGCGAACUUCCUGAUGUGACAGAACCACGCAAUUUGGUACAGGCUGCUCCAGAUAACGCAGUGGUAGAAGGAUACGAUACAAAAUCAGGGCUGUUCUGGCAGAUGGCAAACAAACGCAUCCAAAGGGAAGAGUCAUCCUGAGGAUAAACACCCCAGGGACUUCAGAGAAGAUGGCACCUGCACCAGGUGGGGUAUGGAAAGCUGCGAGUAAGGGACUUCAGUCUUAAAUCUGCUGUCUUCUGCAGGAUAUGUUGCUAAGAAUCGAGUUAUUCCUUUGAUUUGCAUUUAGCAAUACCUCUAAGAAAUAACUUCAUUACAGUGAGGGUGGUCGAACACAGGAACAGGUUGCCUGGAGAUGUUGUGGAGCCUCCAUCCUUGAAGACACUCAAACCCCAAAGGUCCUGGGCAGCCAUCUCUGGGUGACCUUGCUCAAGGGCAGGGAAGCUGGACCAGACCACCUCUGGGAACCCCUUCCCACCACCAUGGGUUUCUGCCUAACAACCCCACGAACACAUCAGGACAGAGUGAAAUUACAGCAGAGGGCAGUUAAGAUCCAUCUGCCUCCCCUUGCGCUGGCCCAGCCCAGGAGUGCUCGCACCACCUCUUACCAUCAACUUGUUUCCAGCUGUGCAUUUCUUCCUCACCCUGGAAGGUUUGGCAAGGGCAGCUCUCAUCACUGCCACCACCCAGACCGUGUCCUUGAGGGGUGUGUUCCCCAUCCCAUGCAUCAGAGACUGGGGGACUUCGGGCAGGAGCUAGGGCCAUGCUACAGUACAAAGGGAGAAGACAGGCAGGAGGAUGCCCUGCCACGAUGGCUGGAGGAGCAGGUAGCUGGGUCACCACCUCCUCCAGCCUGCCCUGGAAAGGCAGGUUUUAACUGCUGCUUCCUUGCCAAGCCACAGUGGGGGCAGGGGGGGUCGGGAUUAUCAGCCCUGCAGAUGGCAUGAAUUAAAGCUCAGACGUAAUUAACUCUGAAUGUACCUACAAGAAACCUAGAAGGCAGGAAAAGCAUCUGAUGACAGGAAAGGGGAGGUAUUUCAGGCACUGCAAAACCCUAAGAGACUACUCAAGCUAGCUGGCAACGUUUCCCAGGGGAUCUGGCAGAGUUAAGGGGACACCACCUAAGAGGUGUUCCUGCUAACGUCUGGGCUGGUGCUCGGGUCUCGAAAUUUGUUAAGCCAACUCAAAGCAGCAGCCUUGCUGGAGGCACAGGAAGCAACAUGAAGUUAUCUUUGUCGUCAUAUCCUAUAUCCUUAUUUUCUGCUGUUGAAAUCUGGCAGUUUUGCCAAAGCAGACACCCAUCUCAAGUGGUGCCACACCUGUGGAGCUGUUUGCAAGGCACUAUGGACACAAGCGUCCCCUGAAGGAAUGAGACCUCAGUUUGGAGGAAAACACUGACAAGUUGCCUUGAUGCAGCCUUCCUCUUAAUCCCUUUACAGGCCCCAGGGCUGUUCCCUUUCCCACGUCCCUCCUGCAGCGGGGCACCCCCGCAGCACAGCACCGCUCUGCACCCUCAGCACCAGAGCCACGCAUUGGGUCACAGCCAGCCCGUGCCCACCCUGCAGCAGGUCCUGAGGGCAACACUGCCUUAACUUCUUCAGGGAGAGGGGUUGGAGGCCUCUGCUGUUGGACAAGCAUCCUCACCCAGCUCCGAGUUGUUAAAUGACGGGUCCGGCCCAGCCCCGAGCGUAUUUUCACCUGUGGCUGUGGAUUUGUGUCAAAGUGAUACCAUUUUCAGGAGACUGACAAGGAGGUGUCGUGUUUGUGAAUCCUGCGCUGGUUUCCAGUCUCCUUGCAUCUUUCCCUUUUCUUUCUUCAACAGAAAAACUACCCAAGCCUGGCGUGAAGCUGCUCCUGGGUGGUGCCAGCGUGGUUAGUUACACUGACUCGGGGCCAGCUGAAGGGCACGUCCCAUGAGCUGCCACGGUUCAGCUGUGUCAUGUAUAAUCCCGUCACCCCUGCCAAAAGAGGAGGAGCACCCUCAGCAAUUCAAGAUCAGUUUGCUUCCCCGAGACAGUCAGCAGCUUGUCACACUGAGCUUCUGCCAAGCAGCACCAGCUCAGGGCAGGCGGCAGCAGCCAGAGGCCACCACGCUGGCCAUGGCUUGCUUGGCUGCUCCCCUCCAGGCAUUUCUUGCAACUCUCAGCCAAGGGCUCAGGUAGCAGCAUCCCACCUGGAAAGGCAGGCACCGGGCUGCUGCCAGCCUUUGCCUCGGAGCAAGAAUUCCAAACAUUUUCUUGAGCCAAGUAUUUUAUAAUUUAAUCCAAUGCUCACACCAGGGUAUAGCACCAAAGCGGGCUGACAGCACUGGGGGAGCCCACUGGCAGGGCACGAACGCGUGGGGUUAGCAAGGGGCAGGAGAGGAACAGGAAUGGCAGGGGAAGUGUCAGGCAGGGCAGUAGCAGAGCUGUCUCUCUCAGUGCAUUCUCGCACAAGGAAAAGAGAAAAUUUGCAAACCCAUGGCAAGCCCUGGAGGUGUACCCAACCACCUCUCACCUCACCUGCUCCAUCCCUGCACUGGUAGAUGUUUAAUCAUACAUAAACCUGCCUCCCGAGCAUCUAAACAAGAGCUUACACCAUCGUACUCAACAGCAAAAAAAGCCUCCCAACCAACCAAAACACACAUCUUUUGAUAGCUACGAGUUCAAAUAACUUCUUUGUGCAGCACAACAUCCUCCACCUAAAAUAGAGCGAUUUGUCUCUUUGUCAUCUCCGGGACACCAACGACGUUUUUCUGCCCGGACAGACGUCUUAUCCUGGUGAUGGCACCAGGGGGACCCAGCCACUCGCCCUUGCCCUCCGCUGGCCCUGGAAGCAGGCUGGCAGCACUCCCGCAUCCCUGUGCCUGCAGUGCUCCAGCAUCCCUGCCUCUCCCACAACAAGGACCACACAGCACCCCCUGCAUCCUACUGUUUUCCUGGCUUCAGAAGCCUAAUUUUUACCGUAAAAUAAAUACAUGCUCUCCCUGGUUAUGUCAUUGAAUAACACUGCAUGGUUAUAAAGUUGCAGCAACUGUUAUCUACACGUGUUUCCUAUUUGUGCUAUUUUAAAGGUGUUUUUUUUUAAAAAAAAAACACCUAAACUUGUCAUAGUGCAGGUGGGGAAAAAUAAAAGUAAGCAAAGUAGUUCAGAAGUUGCUACCUACAUCCCAUUGAAAAGUUUAACAUAUAACAAAAAUUUAGGACCACAGAGUUAACACAGCUUUUGCUUGUUCAUUAAAAUAUGACUGCAGAACACAUGCCCCGCACCAUAUCACUUACUGUUAUGUCGUGGCUGGGGAAGGGGAAGCGAAGGGAAAAUAAACAUGCCCAGUGUGACAGCUCAAACCUUGCUCUUUGCUUCAGGAACAUCAUCAACUGGACUCUAAUCUCAGAAAACAGAUUCUGUUAUUACCCAUGGUCCUGAUUGCCAAACAUUAGUGUUCACAGUCACAUUUUCCUUAGAGAAAUAUUUUCUCAUUGAUGUCCAAAGAGGCUGCCAAGUGCUGAAAUAAAAAAAGAGUUCUUCUGAAAUAUCUUUCAGUUCCAGUAACUGAAUGCUGCACUCACCAACAGCCAAGACUCUCCUUUUCAGGUUUAGGGGUGGUGGUAGCUAGUUUGUUGCUAGCUAGUGGUUUGGUGGGUUUUUUUGACACGUUCAUUCCCAUCAUCACUGUAUGGAAAAACUUUCCAAGAUUGCAACAGCAAUUAAUCAAGCUCCAAAAUUCUAGUUUCCUUGUUCUAACAACACUGCACCAGCUACUAAAAAGAAAAUUAACUCUAUCCCAGAUGAAACCAGGACAGAGCUGCAACCAUGUCUUCUGCUAUAAUGCAAUCUUUAUUAAUAGCUUUAUAAAUCUUGCUUACAUACAAUAAUGUAAGCAGGAUACCUGCCUUAAGAUAGUUCUGCUCGUUUCUUUGCUUGACUUUUUGUUUGACCCUUGCUUUCUUCAGGCAGUGAAAUACUAGCUCACAACCCAAUACAGUAUUUAGAUACUAAGCUUCCUGAUUGGGAGUAGGAGUCAAAUCUCUGCGUUUUAGUUAUUCCAGUUUCUUCUUUUAUUUAAAAGCAAAAAUAAAAUUGAACCACACCAGUCCUUCAAAUGAGCCCAGGUCAGGAACCGGUUCCACCCUAGCAAACCACACUGACAGGCCCACAAGGAGCACUGGAUCCACACGGCGAAUAUUUAUAGAGAUGAAAUUUUACUUCCCAUCUCCAACAGCAUUUGAAAGAAAUAAUGGGUUUCUGGUUUAGACACUGCCCUGAAAUAGCCUGUCAGCUGUGUGUGACACUGACAGGUUGUUGGUCCAUCAGUGUGCUUUACAUCCCUCCCCACCCUGAUGCCAGGCAUGCCCUGCAAACUUUUAGCCAUGUGAAGGUGCUGGUACUGGGUUUAUAGGCUAAAAGAGCCAGUCACCUUUUCCAGCAUUUAUCACCAUGUUAUAUGUAAGGUAGUUACAGUAAAUUCCCCAGAAGAACCCAUAAACCAUUGCCAAGAUAAGUUUAAUCCCAAGCUGCAUAUUUAUUAAGAAGGGGGGAAAAAAAUCCCCAAAGUCCAACAAAUUACAGCUGGAAGACAGACAAGGAAACCAGCUCCUCGUUGAAGCAAAAAGUUAGGAACGUCUCAUCUUCAGAGGUAAAAAUAGGCUAUUUUGCAACACGCAUCCAUGAAGAGAAAGGAUGGGCAGGAUGCAUCAACUGUCUUUCCUGAGGCAAACACAUUGUGUAUUCUUCCUCCUCACACUUUGUGUUCCUCCCCAAAGCAGACACCUACGGUGGAUUUUUACUUGGCACAUCCUGUGUGUCUUAUACACACCCCAUACGUGUUUUAUCUUGGUCUCUUGGCCAUCAGCCUCUUCCCAUCCUACUUCACCGCUUCUGUUCAACUCCUCCCUGUCCUGCUAAGGACUUGAGUCUAUCCCCACUGGGUCGGUGUCUUGCAUCUCAUCUGCCCUGCCCUUUCAGUUUUAGGGCCAACUCAGGCCCUGGCUCAUCCGUUUGGAAGCUGUGGGCUUUCCCCUCCCCAUUUCGGAAAGGGAUAAAUGUGCUGUAUAUUCACUCAACUUCAAAGAUUUGGGGAAAAGAUUGAUGGCACUAAGUGGUAGCAAAAGUCAAGAGAGCAAAUUCGCUGGAACUGGUUUUGUCUGGCAGGACAGAGGACCUUGAACCUGCUUCUGUCAGCUGCUGUCCACACCCACCAGACAGGGUCAGGCAACUUGGAUUUAGCAGACGUUCCAAAGUGAACACAGCUCCUGCAGCAGUGUAACAGCACAAACAGACUUCAAUGCAUUUGCAGUAAUUGCUUUACAUUCAAGCUUUACUUUACAUUGACAGAAAAGCUGGGUAUUUUGUAUGAAAGCUGAUGAUGGGAGACCCAAGUUUCUGCAGCUCCAUACACCACCACCACAUCAAUUAAAAAAAAAAAAAAAAAAAAAGCUGAUGACAUCCAAAUCCAGUUAAGUCCCAUGAACUUCUUCAAAGUCUUUGCUGCUCGGUACUCAUAAAUUCCCACUAGGUAUUUGCAAGCAUGUGCAGCUGUGUAUCUGCAUGCCUGCAGGCAGGGUACACACGCUAGGCUUCCAGGGUUUCGAGACUCUAAGCUUGCUAUUGUCACAGCACAUUUUUUUUUUCCUCCCCUCCUCUUUAAAGCAUUCAGCAAGCACAGAAAUGGUACUUUCCAGUCUGAUUAUACUUAGCAGGAUGACUUAGCAACGUGAUCUUUCCACUCCUGACCUUCAAAUGGUCAGCACAACCAGAUGUUUUAUUUAAGACAGAGGCUGUCAGCCAGCUUCCCCUCAGAUUUGCAAGCCUCUUUCUUUCGAGAAACACCCAAGACAGACUUCAUCUUUCCCUGGUGCAGUAUUUGCCUUUACUAUGCAAAACAAUCCCCCUGCAUAUCGCGCUCAACAAUGUGAUAAUUAAAAAAAAAAAAAAAAAAAUCAGGUCUACACAGGAGGGUUACAAGUGCUAGAAAGGCUGCUUCCUUGUUCCAUGUAAAACAAAGACAGGGAAGAGGCUAUUUCAAGAGAACACGUAAGAAGCAGGGAAAAAGCCUCAAAGCACUUUGGGAUCAGCUCAGUGCUGCUGCACUUAGGUUUCAGCCUCACACAGUGGCAAGAACCAUCACCUCAGAGCAGAACUGAGCACGACAAGUACCCAAGCUCCAUGAAAGGUGCACUAAGGCUGGCAGACUAAUCCGAAGAUCCAGGUAAUUCCUCCUGAACCAGCACAAGACAGCAAGCAACGCAGCAGGAGCUUCACAAGAGUUAUAGCAAUGACAGGAGCACAGCCAGCCAGAUGUUCCCUUGAUAACCAUACAGUCAUUACCAAGCUCAUCAAAAAGAUUAUGGAAAUUGUGUGGCACCUUGUAUGGGUUGGCAUCUGUAGACUCUACCAUUUUUCUGCCAUCUUCAAAGGGCUCAUAAUUCAUUGGGACCCAUGUAAAACUGAAGAGCUACUGUUAGACUUUACAAAUCCUGUUUGAAAAAGACUUUCAUUUUCCACCUCACAUACCUGUCACAGUGGUGAAAAAACCAGAGCUGCCUCUAUGUCCAUCAUCACUCUUCAGCCAGCCUAAACUUGGUGAUGUUUUUGAGGGAGAAAGUAAUCAGGAAAAUGAUCACACCCAGGCAACUGUAGGGAGUCUCAAUUUAAAAAAAAAAAAAAGACACAAAAAAGCCCAAAACCAAACCCAAACCAGAUCCUACUCAGAGCAGAAAUAGCUCUGAUAAAAAAAAAACCCAAAUCCAAAAAAAUCCACCCCACCCACACAAACCACAUGCCCCUUUUAUCAGGGGGCAUUUAUAAAUUAGUUGGCUACAGAGCAGUUUUAAAAGUUACAAAGAUUACAAACAACCACAUCGUUUUCAAGAACCUUUAUACAUCAUCUUUUUUAAUUAGAUUAGCUUUACAAGCAACUUGAGAGCUCUUUCAUAAUGAACACUGCUUUUCAAAUUACACAACUUUAUAGGCAACCUGUAAACGAAUCCUGAAUUUCUUUGCCUGCUAUAGAUAAAGGUCUCAUAUUUCACAGCCAGCUAACAUCAUGAAUAAAAAUAGCAUUAUGAAGCUUUAUCUUUAACCAGGACUAGACACAUACAGAUCAUAAGACAGUUUAAAAAAUAGUUUUAAAACAAGGACCUGCUUGGUGAUGCUCAAGACUGAAUAUUCAACUGAUGUGAAAUGAAUGGUUCCUAAAGGACAUGGAAGAAAUGGCUGACCUGAUUUGUUGACCCUAUUGUAAUGACUUACAUGGAGUGAAAAAAUAAGCACUUUUUAAACCUGUCUGGCAAGCACAAACCUACAGUGUGAUUAGAAUUUGAUACGCCGUGGAACUGCAAAAGUUUGAAUUACACAGGGGCUAAGAUGAGUUUAAAGGCUUAUGCUUACAUUUCUAGAACAAAACCAACCAAACCUCCAUUAAAGCAGUACUAAAGAAGAUGAAGUAGAAGAGGUGGCUUUUUUGCUUGUUUCACUGGUAGCCUAAAUGCACUGCAGACCAGACAGUAAUGAAGAUUUGCACUCCUUGGCCAGGUUGGCAGAGGCACUUACAGUAAAGGUAUCCUGUCUGUUUUUCUGGGAAGAAAAGAGGAAAGAGGAAGAGAACUGUAAAGGGCAAGAACUUAGUAAAAAAAAAAAAGGAAAAGCAAAAUCAAAACAAAACUGGGAAUUCUGUUGGUUCUCCUAAAUGAUAUACCAAUACUGAAUUUUUCCCUCUUCUGUCAGUUUGUUACUAAACAAUUAGCUUUUUCAUGUUUUACAUGAACAAUAGUAAUCUUUUUAAUAAAAAAUUACUGAGCUUUCCAUAGAAAAGGUCUCUAAUUGAAUACAAACUAUACAGAUGUUAAAAUUGUCACAAGUUGUAAUACAUACAGAAAUAUUUCUGUACACUCACAUUGUUUUGGCUAAGUAAGGAAGUAAGGGACAGAUAGAAAACUGCAGCAGGGAAGCUGAUCAACACUCAAACUCCUGUAAAUAUGAACAUAGUUUGCUUUUGUUUUCUUAAGCUUUUAAAGCUCAGGGAAAAAAAAAAAAAAAAAAGAAGAAGAAAAAAAAUCACUGUCCAAAACAUCAAUUUCUUAAAAAUAAGAAUAUCAAAGUUUCUGCACAUCUCACUUUUAUUCUGUGAUGUCCCCUCUCCGUGAUAAAAUGAAAACAAUGUAAAAGAAAGUAAAUGAUUUCUUACUAAAUAUAUACCUCAGUACUGAUCAAAGGGCAGUGCCUCUUUGGGGAAAUCCUUCAGCACAGUGAAAACCUAAAGAUGUGUUGCACAAGGAGCCUACAGUGAUGCACUUCAGCUUCAGUGUGCUGACCAUCUCCUUGAUACUAUAUAACAGAUCAAGGCGUCAACUUACAGACUGCAUGGGACAUCAACAUUUGAAAAUAAUAAAAAAAAAAGUUAAUUUUAGAUAUUCUAUUAACUUACACACAAAGGAAAGGGGGGUGGCAAGUAUUCUUUAGAAAAGGGAGAAUGCUCAAAAAUUUCUGUCAAGUACGUAAGGAGGUUCUGGGUACCUCUAAUAGCCUAGGAAAGCCCUUGUAUAUUCUUGUAACUUGAUGGUAUUUACCAGGUCCCCAAAGCCAAUGAUAGCAACCGAUAGUGUCAAGUUCACUUAGUGCCAGUCACUUAAAAAAAACAAACCAAAAAAACAAACAGACAAAAAACCCCUAAAACAAAAAACCAAACAAAGAAAAAAACCAAA